UCUAGCCAGGGAGUCUUUUCAUAAUUUUAUUAUGCGUGUGUGGUUUUAUUUGUUCAACAACUCUAUUUCUGUCGCCGUUCUUCCUCUUAAGCCAUAUGUGAGAUGCGCUAAAGAGGCGUUCAAGUGCAUUGUGUAUUUUUGAGAUGCAAGUGGCAAACACAAUUGAAUUCAAUAGUACUAAGGUGACGUCUGUUCCAACAUGAUUCUAAUAUAAAGGUCCGUAGUUAACACAUGUUGCAGGGGGAACGAUUUAACGGAUACAUAACAUAAUGAGCCAGGGUAGUGUGUAAUGGUGAUGGUACCAGCUGCUGAAGUUUUACAAUCGAAUACGUGAAUGCCUGCGAGCCUGAGGGAGGAAAACCGCCUCCGAAGACAAAGAAGGCUCCUUCACCGGGAAGGCAAAGAUCUUCACUGGUCUGCGUUUGCGGCCGGAGGGUUUCCCCCAACGGAAAUGCUCCAUGGCGUAGGGGCUUCUCUUUGAGCCUUUGGGUCCCAACUUGAGUCCAGGCGUCAUGUUCCCCGGCGGUUUCCCCCAGCGGAAGUGCUCCAUUGAAUUGUGUGGCGCCUGCUCUGCCUCUCAAGCUCUGUACAGGAGAAGCGCUCACAGAAGGUCUGCUGCCAAGUCUUCCGGGAAAAAAGCUCUUUUUAUAGACUCAUGAAGCUUUGGAGUCUCGAGGCCUUGGGGUGUGAUGGAAGUAAGGGAUCUCCUACUUGCUGUGGGCGGGGAAGAAUGUAUCACUGACUGUGUGUGUGUGUGUGUGUGUGUGUGUUUGCGUAUGCAUGCGAAUCCAUCCCACGUCCCUUUUUUGUUUGUUUUUGAAAUCAAUAGAACCCACGUCACCCAACAGGUGAAGCACCCUGGAGGAUUAACCUUCAGCUUCCGCCAGUCUUUUUAAAGCUUCGAGCAUCCUUCAUCAACUGGGAUGCUGCAACCCCAAGGACGCAUUCACACUUGAUGUGUUCGAUUUGGUUAAAAGCGAACGCCGGUGCGUUUAGCCCUGUUGUGUGACUGCCGUCAUUUGAACCCUGGUGUGCACCCAACAAGCGGGUGGAGACCCGCCUCUCAAGCAAGUGAACUCAGAUGUGCUAAGAAGGUACAUCAUUAGUAUGUUUUUUUGUGUGUCUUUUUUCAUUUAUUUAGUUUUUUUUCCAAAUAUUGCAACAUUUAAAUUUCUUGUAAUGUUCUGACUAUUCCCAUAAUAUUUAGAUUUUUUUGUUUCACAUGAUACGCAGAAUUUUCUUUACUAUUUUAAUUUAUUCUUAUUAUUAUUUUAAUUUUUUAUUUAUUCUUUAAUUUUAGUAUCAGUAAUUGUGUUUUUUUCUCAUAAUAUUACAACGUUAUUUUUGCAAAAUUACAACCUUUUUUGGUAAUUUUAUGACUUUAUUCAACAAUUUUAUUUUCAGAAAAUUGCAUUUUUGUGUGUUUUUUUUUUUUGCUUUUCUUUGUAUUUAUUGUAUUUUUAGAACCUUCCUGCCCCUGCACCACACUUUGGAAAACCCUGUUUUAGAAGAUUUUCAUGAAAUCCAAGCUGGAUAAAAAAUAUAAUAUAAAAUAACCUACAUAUUCCGAUCCAACAAAUUUGGGAAUUUUUGACAUGAAUCAUGUAAUGUGAUAAAAAACUACCCAAUUAAAAGUAAAAAUUACGCAGCUGCCUAGAGGGCGCUAAGUACACCGGCACACACAUUAGUUAUGGCAAUGAUAGCGAUUUGGCAAAGUGUAGCUACUAACUUUAUCAUUGAAUAUGGAACAACAGAAGGGCUCCAAAUUGCUGGUCGUAGGAGUUUUUAUGUUUUAAAAAUGACUUCUUUGUUUUACCCCUGCACCAUUCAGCCCCAAUUUAAAUGCCAGUUGACAUGACAGUUUUUAUGCAGUUUUUAUGAAAAAUAUACACAGUUCCCUUCAGUCUGACCUUUGCAACCACUAUUGGUAACAUAUGCUAGUGUUAUAUACACUGCUUGAAAAUGAUGUAAUAUUGAGGCAAUCCUUACUUAGUGCAUAUGUUCUGUACUGCAAGGUUACCGUAAGGCACGUGUUUUAGAAACAAUUAGAAAACUCUCAACAUCAAACUAAAAUGUUUGUAUGAAUGAUGGCUACACUUGUUCAUUAUGUACUCGCUGCCAUCUAGUGGAAUAGCUUUGAAUUGUUCUGCCUGUCACUCGCUACAUGUUGCUGGCAUGAACAGAUAUAUAUGUUAUUUGAAGUAAAUCAUUUUAAUUUCCCAAAAUGCACCUGAUGACUUCAGUACCAAAACGCAGGUGAGAAUGCAACCUAACCACUUGGUAAUCCUUCCUCUCAAUCCUUUAAAGGUCAUUUUCUUCCCGGCACUUCAGGUGUGCAAAUCGAUUGGAUUGUUGUUGUUUUUUAAUCUUGUGUGCUCA